rnacentral:rRNA from 1 species
AUGGCCGCCGUCGUAGCCGCAGCCGCGGCCGACCAGCCGCGCCGCCGGAAGCCGACGCCGGGGCGCGGGGGCGUGGUGCUGCCCGCGGGGCUCUCCGAGGAGGAGGCGAGGGUGCGGGCCAUCGCGGAGAUCGUGUCGGAGAUGGGCGAGCUCUCGCGCCGCGGGGAGGACGUGGACCUCAACGCGCUCAAGUCGGCCGCGUGCCGCCGCUACGGGCUCGCCCGCGCGCCCAAGCUGGUGGAGAUGAUCGCCGCCGUGCCGGAGGCGGACCGCGCGGCGCUGCUGCCCCGCCUGCGCGCCAAGCCCGUGCGCACGGCGUCGGGCAUCGCGGUGGUCGCCGUGAUGUCCAAGCCGCACCGGUGCCCCCACAUCGCCACCACGGGGAACAUCUGCGUCUACUGCCCGGGAGGCCCCGACUCCGACUUCGAGUACAGCACCCAGUCCUACACUGGAUACGAGCCCACCAGCAUGCGCGCCAUCCGGGCAAGGUACAAUCCAUAUGUGCAAGCCAGAAGCAGGAUAGAUCAGCUCAAAAGGCUCGGACAUAGUGCGGAUAAGGUCGAGUUCAUUUUGAUGGGUGGGACUUUCAUGUCGUUACCGGCUGAUUAUCGUGAUUAUUUCAUCAGAAAUCUCCAUGAUGCUUUAUCGGGACAUACUUCUGCUAAUGUUGAGGAGGCGGUUUGUUAUUCAGAACAUAGUGCUGUCAAAUGUAUCGGUAUGACAAUUGAGACGAGACCUGAUUAUUGCCUGGGGCCUCAUCUGCGGCAAAUGCUAUCUUAUGGAUGUACCCGCUUAGAAAUUGGUGUGCAGAGUACAUAUGAGGAUGUUGCACGUGACACAAACAGAGGCCAUACAGUAGCUGCUGUUGCUGAUUGUUUUUCUUUAGCAAAAGAUGCUGGUUUUAAGGUGGUUGCGCACAUGAUGCCAGAUUUACCUAAUGUUGGAGUUGAGAGGGAUAUGGAAAGUUUCAGAGAAUUUUUUGAAAAUCCAGCAUUCCGAGCAGAUGGUCUAAAGAUCUAUCCAACUCUUGUGAUUCGUGGAACUGGUCUUUAUGAGCUAUGGAAAACUGGAAGGUAUAGAAACUACCCACCAGAGCUGCUAGUGGAUAUUGUAGCAAGGAUUCUGUCGAUGGUACCACCAUGGACACGAGUCUAUCGGGUCCAGAGAGAUAUCCCUAUGCCUCUUGUUACUUCUGGUGUUGAGAAAGGUAACCUGCGUGAGCUUGCUUUGGCUCGAAUGGAAGACCUGGGCUUGAAAUGCAGAGAUGUCAGAACCCGUGAGGCUGGAAUUCAGGAUAUCCAUCACAAGAUCAGGCCUGAUGAAGUUGAGCUUGUCAGGCGUGAUUACGCUGCAAAUGACGGUUGGGAGACCUUUCUCUCGUAUGAGGAUACACGACAGGAUAUCCUUAUUGGCCUGUUGCGCUUGCGUAAAUGUGGCCGCAAUGUUACAGGCCCUGAACUCGUAGGGAGGUGUUCAAUUGUCCGUGAACUUCAUGUCUACGGAACAGCGGUCCCUGUGCAUGGUCGUGAUGCAGAGAAACUGCAACACCAGGGGUAUGGGACGCUCCUGAUGGAAGAAGCAGAGAGAAUUGCUCGUAAGGAGCAUCGAUCAAAGAAACUGGCCGUCAUCUCAGGAGUUGGAACCCGCCACUACUACCGCAAGCUGGGCUAUGAACUUGAGGGGCCUUACAUGGUCAAAUGUCUGGCAUAG